rnacentral:tRNA from 1 species
GGGCCCAUAGCUCAGUUGGUAGAGCGCACCCAUGGCAUGGGUGAGGCCACGAGUUCAAGUCUCGUUGGGUCCACAA